rfam:Calypte anna contig50138, whole genome shotgun sequence.
GUCCAAAACACAUCGGUGUCAUCUUUUGCAAGUACAUAUCUGUUUUCUCUGUGUGAAAAAAUACUUGCAGGGUGAUUUAGGC